UACAGACACACAUUAAUGUGGAUAUGAGCCUAUAAGGCCUGUGCAUCUGGCGCGCAGCUCUCCGGAAAUACACGAGCCGAGGUACACAAACAUGGCAAACCUCUCGCGUAGCCACGCGUAGCAAGGUGGCACACUUUUGGACGAAGAGAGAAAUGAGAAUCUCUGGCAAAUGUUCCCCCUUUACAACACGACGACAAGAGGCUUUUCACAAUCUCUUCAAGAGAUCCUCGUGGAAUUCUCAAUCCUGCGCCUCGGUGUUGCCCGUAAAGGUCACAAAGGAGACUUUUUUGUCUGUUUAGCUGCGCUUAGGUGUCUUCUUCAGUUACGAUGGGAUGAUUCGGCAUAGCAGCGGAGGAACUUUUCCACAGGGAGACGAGUCCUGUGAGAUAUAUGGAGCAAGACAACGGUUACGUUUGACAUACACGACUUUCUCUGCAGGGACUCUUUCCAGAAGUUCACUGGUGAACCAGAGAGUGUAUCCCAGCUGAGUUUCGGGGAGAGGUGUGUACACCUA